rnacentral:rRNA from 1 species
GAUGGUUGUCGUCAGCUCGUGUCGUGUAGAUGUUGGUUAAGUACCGCAACGAGCGCAACCCUCGACCUUAGUUGCCAGCAUUCAGUUGGGCACUCUAAGGUGACUGCCGGCUAAAAAGUCGGAGGAAGGUGGGGAUGACGUCAAAUCAUCAUGCCCCUUAUGACCUGGGCUACACACGUGCUACAAUGGGCGGUACAAAGGGUCGCGAACCCGCGAGGGGGAGCCAAUCCCAAAAAGCCGCUCUCAGUUCGGAUUGCAGGCUGCAACUCGCCUGCAUGAAGCCGGAAUCGCUAGUAAUCGCGGAUCAGCAUGCCGCGGUGAAUACGUUCCCGGGCCUU